UCACCCCUCUCGUCAUUUGCUGCUGACCUACCCUGUGCCAAACACCUCCAUGAGCAUUCAAUACUCCUCCCCACUCCCUCCUUGAGCUAAUUCUUGAGAGAUUUGAGCUAGAGCUUGGGUAAGAGAAAGAUUUGAGGUGUGUGACUCCAUCUUUGAGUGUGAGGUCAACCUUGUUCAUCUCAAGAGCACUUGAAGCAUUUUCGAUCUUCGAUUCGCAUUUGUUACUCUUGAAGCUUGCUUCUAG
rnacentral:lncRNA from 1 species